UACGGAGGGUGCAAGCGUUAUCCGGAUUCAUUGGGUUUAAAGGGAGCGUAGGUGGUCUUAUAAGUCAGUGGUGAAAUCUCCGGGCUUAACCCGGAACUGCCGUUGAUACUAUCUGUCUUGAAUAUCGUGGAGGUAAGCGGAAUAUGUCAUGUAGCGGUGAAAUGCUUAGAUAUGACAUAGAACACCCAUUGCGAAGGCAGCUUACUACACGAUCAUUGACGCUGAGGCACGAAAGCGUGGGGAGCAAACAGG
rnacentral:rRNA from 1 species